CACGCUGGGGAGCAAGGCUGGGCACUCAGCGAGGCUGGGGUGACACCAGGGACAGCUGCUGGGGGGGUGCUGCUGGCACAGGUAGCUCCCAGUGCCGAGCCCAGCUCUCCUGCAGUGAGCACACUGAGGUAGCUGGGACAAUCAGGGAUGUCCCAGGCGUUCUCCCUGUGUGGCAGAUCCGUGGAACGCUCCCCAGCCUUAUCUGCCCUGAUUUAUUCUUUAAUUGGCAAAGCGUCUCGUGCCAGAAAUUAUUAGCGAGCGAGCAGCUCCUCCUGGAAAAGUGAGGCCUCUUAUCUGCCAUCGCCGUAUCCCUGCGUGCUCCUAUCACUCCAUCUCCUGCCUGUCCCUGUGGGAUCUCCAGCCACGCAGGAAAGGCUCUGGAAAGGCCCCCAAAACCUGGAUUUCUCCUACAACUCUUCUGUUGUAGGAGAGGACAAGAUCCUGCCCUUCCUGCAGGGCAGAGCCACGUGGGGAUGGUUGGAUGAGGGGUACACAGCUGGCAACACCCCAGGAUCCCAGUUUGGGACCUUCACCAGCCCAUCUGCUUUAGAAUAAAUAUUCCAAAUCCAUUGCAAUCCACCUGAAGAACAAAAACAGCAAAAAGGACCCAUCUUGUGUCAGGCAUGUGGCUGCAAACUGACAUUCAGGUGGAGCUGCAGAAGUUAAAACUAAAUAAAGCGUCUUGGAUCCUUUUAAUCCUCUGCUCCUGUAAUUUCAGCAUGUCCAAACAGAUUUUGGUGUGUGUUUAUAACUGGUAACUUCAUUUGCUCCCAGGCUGGGACCUUAAAUGCCAAGUUUCAUCUCCAAGUCAGUUUCUAAGGAAGCCAAAGGAAUUUUGCCCCAGAGAAGGCAGCUGGAUGCAGUCCCACAUUUCCAGUCUCUUGAAGAUGCCAGAAGCUCAUCACCCAGACUGGGGCCAGCAAAGAAAGCAUUAAGGGAUGGAAGACGAAACUCAGCACAUGAGCUGUGAGAUUCACAGAGCAUCACCCAUCCUGCCCGUGGCACAGCAGCCAAACCUUCACCUGAUGGGAGCCAGCAGCAGCACAGGAACCUGGGCAGUGCCUGGGCAGCAGCUGGAGCUCACCCCAGCCUGCUCAGCGUGCCACAAACGCCACCUGAUUUACACCAGGGCUUUUGAGGAUGUGACUCAGUCACUCAGAGACAGCUCCUCUGCUGGCCUUCCCCUGGUCCCUGCAUACAAAACACUUUGCAAAUGAAGUGUGAAGAUAAUAUGCUUUAUCAUGGGCAUUUAUUACCCGUGAUUGUGGUAUAAAUCUCCCUCCAUUCACAUACAUAUACAUAAGGUGUAUAUAAAUAUGCAGUAUCCGGCAGUACCCAGAGCCUUUUUGAUGAUGUCAAUGUAGCCCCCAUAAAGAUAGUGGGAAAUGAUUCAUAAUAUUUAUAUGGCAGACAUGAUAUGAACUGUAAUAGCCUGUUGGGAUUGAGAAUAUCCAUAGGUCUCUGUCAGCCACAAAUGUGAUUUAAAUAUUAUAUAUGUGGCAACUGUAGCAUUAGUAAUAUGAUAGCUGUUAUUGAUAGUGGUCAUAAAAUGCAGUAGUUUUGCACUGAAGAAUGUGAAAAAUAAUCUAGUGGUUUUCCUAAUGGUCUUCCCAGCAAUGCACUGAAAGGAAGUGUACUUUCAAUGCCUCCUUUUUUCAAUGCCUCCUCCUCUCCUCCCCCCACCCCAAAUUACCAUCACAUUCUCUCAGAUUACUGCCAGGGCCAUAUUUUACUCUGCUGAUGUCAGGUUGUGGCAUCUCAUCCCCCUGGGGCUGUCUGGGGAGGGCAAAGGGUCCCUGCAGAGCCCUGGGCUGUUGUCAAGGCUGGGAGGGUGGUGUUGGUGCUUCCUCUGAGAACACACAGCAGGAAAAAGGCAAAAAGCAGCAAGAGAGGGGCUCAGGGGAGUGGUGCCACUCUGGGUGUGAAGUCUGGACCGUGGCAAAGUGUCCUCAGCCAGGAUAAAUCAGCACAGCCCUGCAAAAACAAUGCAGCCACGCUGAGUUAUGGCCACUGGGCUUGCCAAGGGGGGUUCUGGCACUCAGAAGCAGGAGUGAAGCAUCUGAAUCCUCUUCCUUUCCCUUCCUGGCCUUCCACACCCAAAGGCUGCCCAGCCAGGGGUCUGCUGGAGGAGUGGCACAGCAGCAGGAGGGUGGAUAAAGGCACCCUGAACCUUCCAGGUACAUCAGUGUUCACCUGGGCCGGAGCACAGGAGAGCUGGGGUGACACCUCUGGCCCCAAGGGAUUUGCUCUUUGGCUACCACACAUCUCAAAAGCCUCCUCAGGGCACAGCACAGGGGCUGGUGGGAGCUGAGGGACCCCUGGGCACAAAACCAGCCCCACAUCUCAGUAAAAAUGUCCUUCCAUCGCUUCCAGAGCAGCAAAGGUCACUUCCCUGCUGGCUGCCAGCCUGCAUUGAUCUCCCCAUCUCUGCCCCUGGAACAAAAAUAGAGGGGAAAACUGCUUAAAUCCAUGACAAACCACUGGCUGCCACAGCCAUAAAUUACAUCAGUCCCUGGAUUUCCCCUGUGAGCAGAACCAAGGGAGGGUGACACUUGCCAGGGUGGGCAGCCCAGCUCAGGGUCCCUUGGAUGCCACAGCCUGGUCUCACCCAGCAGGGUCUGGGGGAUUCAGGGGCCCAGAUCACACCCAGAACUGAUGUCUGGUGUCCAUCCAGGGAGCUGCUUUGAGAAGGAGCCUCUGCCAGGGAUGAGGUGUUGCUCAAAGGAUGCUGCACCUGUCAAGGGGCAGGAGCAGCCUGGGAGGCAGGUGUUGGGAUGCUGGCUCCAUCCUUCCACAUCACAGGGAAUAAAUCAAGGCAGUGAUACGAGCUCCAAACACAGCAGACCUCAGGGCGAAGCACUGAUCAGCUCCCUGGUGUGUAGCCUUAAAAAAUAAAUUAAUUAGAGUUCUGUUAGCGGGGCUUUGCAGAGGGCCCCACGUGUGCUGGCACUAACGAGGGGUGUGGGGCUGCAGGCUGAGCUCUCCCACCCCUCUCCAAAGGGAUUUCAUUCCCCAGGAUUACAUUUAAAUAUUUUAAAGCUAACAGGACGCCCACAUUUCAAUUUCAUCCAAAACACCAGGCUCUUGGUGGACAGGGCUGGGACCAAGGAAGAGCUUGUGCACAAAUGGGUGAAAUUGGGGUGAAGAAGGCGUGCUGAUUUUUCCCAAAAGACUAGAGGGGAACAGCAACCCUCCCUCCAUCACCAUGGCCAGCCCUCCCUUCCAGAUCAUCUCCUCCCAUGCCUUUUUAACUUUGACAACACAGAACAUUUUAUAAAAGAAAGCAAAAGUCUUUUUGAAAGCUGGAGUCCAGGUGUCAUUUAAUGUCAGUUUUCUCCAUCAUUUGCAUUGCAAGGGACCUGAUCUUCCUCUUCCCCACCCCGGUGUGAGGCAGGCAUUGCUCCAGGGAAAACCAUGGGCCUAUUUCUGCUGUCGUUUCCACAAACAUAAAUCAGGAAUUUACUCAGUUGAAAUAAGUGGAGCUGCACCAGUGUAAAACCAGUGUGAGCUCAGAGUUACAGUGCUAUAAAAGCAGUGUGAGGCUAGAAUCAGCCUCGGUAUUUAUGGAGAUGGUUUGAGGAAAGCCUGAGGAAAUUAGUAAAAUUGGGAGCAAACAAAGAGAGAGGAAAAAAAAAAAAAGAAAGGCAUGUGAUUUCCUGAUGAUUUGGCAAAUCAAAUCCUCAAGGCCAGCACUCAUAUUCCUUCCUCUGCUGUGAUGCCUGCUCUGGUGAGCACUUCUGCCAGAAGAGCCUUUCUGUAUUAUUCCUCUUCUGGGUGACGCAGCUGCGAGAUGCUCGCUAUGGAAAUGCCGUAUAAAAAUAAAUUGAA